rnacentral:rRNA from 1 species
CCUACGGGAGGCAGCAGUGGGGAAUUUUCCGCAAUGGGCGAAAGCCUGACGGAGCAACGCCGCGUGAGGGAUGAAGGCCUCUGGGCUGUAAACCUCUUUUAUCAAGGAAGAAGAUCUGACGGUACUUGA